rnacentral:tRNA from 1 species
GGAACAUUAGCUCAGUGGUUAGAGCAUCACAUAAUGAUUUUAAAGGUAGUUAUUGUGAAGGUCACUGGUUCAAAUCCAGUAUGUGCUUCA